rnacentral:tRNA from 1 species
CAGGGAGACAACAAAAUGUUUAAUAUUAUUAUUUUGUCACCUUAGGUCGAUCGGUAUCUCACGUUCUUAAUUUGUUAAGGAUUUCAUUUCCUAAGUUUUUCUAGGUCACACCCAUUAUUUUUCCUGGGCCAUUAGCUCAGGUGGUUAGAGCGCACCCCUGAUAAGGGUGAGGUCCCUGGUUCAAGUCCAGGAUGGCCCAUAUCUCUAUGUUGGGGGUAUAGCUCAGUUGGUAGAGCGCCUGUUUUGCAAGCAGGAUGUCAGCGGUUCGAGUCCGCUUACCUCCACUGAUUACCACCUCUUCCAUAACUGGUAGAAAGGAAAUGUUUUGAGUUGUGAUUAUUAUUCUGAACGAAUCUAGCUUCCUAAUGAAAUCAUUAAAAUGCUGGACUCAUUGAAUUAAUUUCAUUGUUUUCAGAGAACCUUGACAACUGCAUAUAUUUUUUUAAAGACAAUAAGCAUCUUUAAUGAUGCAGAUUUAUUAUUUGUGCGAAUGCAUUAAUAACAAUUCUAUUAAGCUGAUGCUUCAAUUUUUGAAGUUAUU